GUUUGAUCCUGGCUCAGAAUCAACGCUGGCGGCGUGCCUAACACAUGCAAGUCGAACGAGAAAGUGGUAGCAAUACCAUGAGUAAAGUGGCGCACGGGUGAGUAACACGUGACUAACCUACCCUGGAGUGGGGGAUAACUGAGGGAAACCUUAGCUAAUACCGCAUAAUACCUACGGGUCAAAGGAGCAAUUCGCUUUGGGAGGGGGUCGCGGCCGAUUAGUUAGUUGGCGGGGUAAUGGCCCACCAAGACUGUGAUCGGUAUCCGGCCUGAGAGGGCGCACGGACACACUGGAACUGAAACACGGUCCAGACUCCUACGGGAGGCAGCAGUGGGGAAUUUUGCGCAAUGGGGGAAACCCUGACGCAGCAACGCCGCGUGGAGGAUGAAGUCCUUCGGGACGUAAA
rnacentral:rRNA from 1 species